rnacentral:rRNA from 1 species
ACGAACGCUGGCGGCGUGCUUAACACAUGCCAGUCGAGCGGUAAGGCCUUUCGGGGUACACGAGCGGCGAACGGGUGAGUCACACGUGGGUGAUCUGCCCUGCACUUCGGGAUAAGCCUGGGAAACUGGGUCUAAUACCGGAUAUGACCUCCUAUCGCAUGGUGGGUGGUGGAAAGAUUUAUCGGUGCAGGAUGGGCCCGCGGCCUAUCAGCUUGUUGGUGGGGUAAUGGCCUACCAAGGCGACGACGGGUAGCCGACCUGAGAGGGUGACCGGCCACACUGGGACUGAGACACGGCCCAGACUCCUACGGGAGGCAGCAGUGGGGAAUAUUGCACAAUGGGCGAAAGCCUGAUGCAGCGACGCCGCGUGAGGGAUGACGGCCUUCGGGUUGUAAACCUCUUUCAGCAGGGACGAAGCGCAAGUGACGGUACCUGCAGAAGAAGCACCGGCUAACUACGUG